CAGCAGUGGGGAAUAUUGCACAAUGGGCGCAAGCCUGAUGCAGCCAUGCCGCGUGUAUGAAGAAGGCCUUCGGGUUGUAAAGUACUUUCAGCAGUGAGGAAGGUGGGUAUGUUAAUAGCAUACUCAUUUGACGUUUAGCUGCAGAAGAAGCACCGGCUAACUCCGUGCCAGCAGCCGCGGUAAUACGGAGGGUGCGAGCGUUAAUCGGAAUUACUGGGCGUAAAGCGCAUGCAGGUGGUUUGUUAAGUCAGAUGUGAAAGCCCGGGGCUCAACCUCGGAAUUGCAUUUGAAAACUGGCAAACUAGAGUACUGUAGAGGGGGUAGGAAUUUCAGGUGUAGCGGUGAAAUAGCGUAGAGAUCUGAAGGAAUACCGGUGGCGAAGGCGGCCCCCUGGACAGAUACUGACACUCAGAUGCGAAAGCGUGGGGAGCAAACAGGAUUAGAUACCCUGGUAG
rnacentral:rRNA from 1 species